rnacentral:lncRNA from 1 species
UGUAUCGCAUAAUAAUAGAGACAUAUCGCGUUCCAGGUUUAGAGCGUUGCUCAAUAGAUCGUUUUUCAAUGGCUCGAUGUUCCUCUUCUUCGUUAGCCAAUACACCACCACCACUUCCUUGGGAAACCGGACAUGUCCUACAUAACGAUGCUACGCCAACGUGAGUUAGGGAUGCCGUCACGCAAACGGAGGACAUUGAAUCUCCAACGCAUGCCAGUUAGUAUAGCGUGGCGGCAGAACAACAUUCCAUGACUGGCAAUCUUGGAACAGAGCGAUCAUCGCAUCCUCGAUCUUUUCCAAAUAAUUCGUCUUUGUCGAUAAUAGAAUAUUCUUUGUACGAAGAAAGUACACAAAUUCGACGCGAUCGCCGAUUCUAUCUGGAAAAUACGUGUUUCAAGAGCGUGCCAGAUUUAAUCCGAGAUCUCGAAUUUAAUUGAUGUAAUAAUCUCAAAUGUUGCCAAAGAAAACAUAUUGCGCUGUUGUAAUUUGCGAUCAAGAAUCAAAUUCGUGAAUGAACAUUACGAUUUCUUAUCUACUAAUCAAAAGUUUAAAACUAAUCAAAGAUACUUUUUAUUAUAGACGAAGCACAUUCAACGGAAAGAAACGGAAAAAAUAUUAUCUUGAAAAUUAAGCAUAAUUUUUCACUAAUUUGAAUUAGAAUAUAAACUUAUGGCGUUCAAAUAUAAAAUAUAAUAAUAAAUUUAAGAGAAAGUAUACAUAGUAGGUACCAUGUAAAAUUGUUUUACAUCAUUUUUUUUCUUUUUUAUCUUUCUUUUCGUGAUUUCGAAGGUAAUGGGAAAAGGAAAGAUAAAGAAUAACGAUAUAUAUCGCUAUAUGUCGCUAAUUUACGUAAUAUUUUUAAUUAUCGAAUUCAUUGAAAUGCGUUCAUUGUCUUAUAAUAUCUUGCCAAUACACGUUUAUAAUAACCGCACAAAUUAUACGUAUAAAAUAACAUUUAAGAAAUUGCAAUUGCAAAUUGCAAAUUGUAGAUGUUAAAUAGAUGUUAUCUUUAUCGUGUUAUAUUGCUUCCCUUCGAACAGAAUGACUGUUACAAUGAUAACGCGAUGAAGGAAUUGUUUUAAGAAGUAUUAUUAGAGUUGGAUCAUCACAAUCAUCAUAAAUCAUUUGAUCAUUAUCAUCACAAAUCAAAUUGAUUAAUUAUCGAUUUGUCUUAAAAUUUCAUUUAUAUUUAAUAUCAAAUAUUUAAUAUUAAUAACAUAUUUCGUUAACAUUACACUUUUUUUAUCUUUUUAUAGUAUUUAUUAACAAAAGAGCUCGUUUUUACUUACAUACACACAUAGAUGCGCGCACGCGUGCACAACACAUUGAACAAGCUGACCGAUAAACUAGGUAAAAGUUUAUAAAAAUUAGAAAAAUCAUUUAUUUUUCCAAUCAAAUAUGUUAUUCAUUCUCGCGUUAUAUGUUUGGAUAAAAUUAUAUAUGCAAAACGCGAUUAUGAAUGCAACAAAGAUUUCAUUUUUUAAUAACGUGAAAAUUAAUUAUUGUGAAAAAUAAAAUAUUAGUAACUUUGGUAUAAUAUAAUAUAAAGGGAUAGUUAAUAUAUAUAACAUAAAAUUAUAUAUACAUUAGUUACAUCUCUAUUUACACACAUUUAUAUACGUGUACACGCGUAUAUAUUCGUUAAUUUAUAGUAAAAUUGAAGGAUAUUUAAUAAAAGAAAACGUUCGAGAAACUGUAAAAUAUAUAAUAUUUAGCAUUUUUAAAAAAAAAAUAUUGUGCUUUCCAAUGAUCAUUAUAUUAUUUAUAUACAAUUACAUUGCAAUAAUAAAUUUAUUUAUUGAAUAUUGUACUUAUAAUAGUAGAUUAUUAUUAUUACGUAUCAUGUUGUAUGGUUGAAAUAAAAAAAAGGAAAAAAAAAGAAAAAAAAGGAAAAAAUCGAUCCAGAGAUUACAAAUCGAAAUUUUUGAACUUUAGAUAUUUUUCAUUGAUUUUUAACAUUUCGGAAAAGCCAAUAUUAGAUAAUGAAUCAUUGUCUAUGAACACGAUGCAACAGUUUAUCGAAUAUGUUGAAAUAUACAUAUAUUUUCUACUAUGUAAAAUGCUGUGAAUAUAGGUUAUUUUUUAUAUACAAUUAUGAAUAUAAUAAAAAGAGAAGAAAUAAAUUAAUAAUGUUAAAACUUUUAAUACGUUUAAAAUAAUUUUCAAUUGUCGUUUAAAAUAAAUUAACAAACAUCAUUUAUGAGUCGAUUUAUACAAAAUCGUUAAAAUGUGGUGUUGUAAGUACAUUUUCGAUAUUACGAAUAUACGUUAUGUCUUUUCUGAUCUUUCUAAAUUUAAAAAAUUAUUAAUUCAAUAAUUAAAAAGUAAUCGUAAUGUUUUAAAUGUAACACAUUUAUUCUUCUUGUUAUUCUUCUUUUCAAUUAUGAUCCAGUUAUUUAUACAAAGAAAUUAAAUCUCACGUAACGCAAAAUAGUAAAACGUGUAUAAUACUUUGAUCAUUUGUAAAUAGAUCGUGGUUUCAAAAGGCAUAAAAGUAGAGAAAAUUAAAAAUG